UAUCGUAGAUCAUUGUGUAGUAAAUAUAUUCAAGAAUACGUAGUUUAAAUUUAUAAAUCGGUCAAUUUCUCAUUGAGUUAUAGUGUCAGCAAUUUCGAAAAAUGUCGUUUCGAUAAAAACGCGCUUAAAGUUCAACUAUAGAGGUUUAUACCUUAUUCAAGAUAUGAUUUACCAAUAUUACCGAUUUCAGAGGAUGUUUUUGAAAGUAUAAACUAUCGAAUAAACACAAUUUUUGAAAAUGUCACACUGGUAUAAAUGGCGCUAGCUUGGGAGUAUAAUGUUCCAAUAUAACAAAGAAGAUCACACAAAAUUCGAAAUGGCUUGAUGAAUAUUUUUCCAGCUCUAUGCGAAGCGAAGCAACCAUGUGCUAAAUCCGUACACUGAAACAUCGAAUACGAUGGAAUGGCAAUUCUGAAGGCACUGCUGGGGAUAAAUAUAUAUAAUUCUUUUUUGAUUUCCCUUCCAUAUACUCUUUAAAAAGUGAGCGAUUACUUUAUCUACACUUCCACAGAAGACGAAAGCUUUCAACUUUUUUUUUUUAAUCUUACCUCAAGCAUAGCAUAUAAUGGUGUGCUAAACAAAUUAGUAAAUAAGCCUGUGGGCUUUUAACACAAAAGCGACAUAUUGCACUCACACCAACAACACAUAUAUGCACAUGUAUGUAUAUACAUAUGUAUAUAUAUGGACAACAACCAAUAUCAAUGGAACACAGGGCAGUGCAGAGCAGGUGCACUUUUGUGGCUUUACGCCCUUUAUCCGCUAGUAGAUUUGUUUACAUGCCCAUAAAUAUACAAAUGGCAUGCAUGAAUACGCAUCAAUGUAUGCAGUGAGUUGAGUAAAGCAAAAAGGGUUGAAAGCGAAAAAAGGAAGAGACACACACACAUACACAGAGCAGCGGCACGUAGAGAGUACGCACGCAUUAUGACACAUGCAAAUUAAUUUAUUUCGCUUUUUUUACACAUUCCACCACCCUUAAGGACUUGAAGUACACCUUCUUUUCCUUGCACAUAUGUGCAAAUUUACAGUUAUAUGGGUGAAGGUAUGUAUUUGCAUACGCAGCAGGCGUUCGGCUUAACUGAAAUAAAUCCAUGCUUCCGCUUGAAUGCCAGUACUGGCGCUGACUCCGGCGCCAGCAAUGAAUAACGUAAACAAAAAGACACAAAUCGGAAGUAUGAGUGGCGUAUAAAAGAAACAACAACAAUAGCAAACAAUAAAACAGCAGCAAACAGGUUAAAAAUACGAGAGACAUGUGUAUUAACAGCAACAAAAAACUAAUUCCCUAAUUGCAGCGACGAAGUGAAAAAAAUCUCUUCCGUUCUUUUAUGCUACACUCUUGGUAAAUCCCGUUGCUUGCUGUGAAGAAGAUGUUUUUUGUUGGCGCCUCACGGUGGUGCCACCACAAGUCGUGUGUGCGGAAACAGAUUGGAAUAAUUUAGCAUUUGCAAUUGGCACGCAUAUGCGUGUGACAUACAUACAGAUACUCACACACUGACACACACACUCACACUCUCUCACAGAGAUACCCACAUAUUCGAAUGUACAUAUGUAUAUAAGAGUAUAUAAGGAGAAGCAUGUGUGAGUUUGGCGCGUGGCAUUUAUUAUGCAUGCGUUAUUUCUUGUUGGUGUCUCAAAACUCGUGUUAAUACCAACAACAAAAAAAAACAAAAACAAAAGUACUACAAAUUAAACAACAACAACCAAAAAAUCAUUAAUGCGAAAUUUGUACGCUACAAAGCUUUUGUUUUACGUUCAAGCUUCUUUGUGUGUGUGCAUUCAUUAAAAACCGAAAACGUGCCUCUGGGCUGCUAGUUGUUGACACCAACUCGAAGUCAAAAGGCAGAUGUCAAAUUGCUUGGCAUGUGUGGAAUUGUAUGCUGACAGCUGAGUAAGUUUAGACAAGUGUUUAUUACAAAAGGAUGCCAAACGGUUGAAUGCACUUGUAAAUAUCAUCGCUUCUUAGUUACGUAUGUCACUUGUUAAUUGGUUUAUCGUACAGAGAAUCAUCGAUAUUUUUCUUUACAAACACUGGAAUAUUUAUGCAGUAUAAUUGAACUUUGGGAGACAGAAUUUGCAUGUGAAGGUCAGAAAUUGUAGAGAAAAAGCAUUCAUUUUUCUUUUUAUAACACCAUGCUCGCACAACAAACUCGAGUUUAAUAUUGAUUUUGGUGUUUAGCUUAAACACUACUCCGAAAGGAUACCAAAAAAAAUACCCUGUGAACUCGGCAAAGUCAUAUCUUGAAUAGUUUUUGAAUGACAGUGUUCUAAAGAGUGACCGCUGACAGGAAUAAACCGCAAUAGGUGAAAUUGAUGAUAUCAUAGCUCAACGCUACUCAUUCGGCCAGAAUCAUGACAGCAAUUGGGAAAUUUUUUUUUGGCGCUUCCGAAGACAGCACAUUUCUCUGUAAGUUUCCAAUAUUUUUGUAAAAAAAAUUUAAAAUAUAGCUGAAAAUAUACUUUAUUAAGUCCAAA